UCACCUGGAUCUCUGGAUUAAUUGUCUAGUGAUAAUGCACUAGGACAUUAUCUACUUGAUCUUCAGUACUGAAAUUACGACAAUUCAUUUCAACCCAUGUAACAGAGAAUAUUGGCACAAUUGAUUCAUCUACAACUAAAUCAUACUCUGCAGAUGCUGUCAGAAUUUCCAGCAAUUGCUGUCUCCUUUCCCAUGGGUACAUGUAAAUUCAGGCCAUUUCACAAGUAGCAAUUACCAGUGGCAAUGUAAAAUGAUCUGACAUUGCAAGUGACUGUCCUUUUCACUUUAUGUACAUUCCUAAUUUAUCAGAUGUGAAGCAAUUCUGCUUGGUGUAAUUGUUCAUUAUCCUUAUUGAUGUUGAGGGUGUGCGGGUGCACACUUACUGAUUGUUUGAGUCAGCAUUUGAUUCCACCCAAAAUCAAUAAAUAUGGGUCUGUAAAAAAUAUGCUAAAUACUGACUCAUUAAUUUCUAGUUAUUUAUUAGCUACCUGAUCACUUUACCUUUGUUGACUGAUUUGGAUACACUGGAUUUUUAUUGUCAUUAUUGAAUUAAUUGUUAUUUUUGAUCAUUACCUGCUCAAAGGAAUCCUGUCUCUAUAUAUAUAUCCCUUAAAUUUCAGUACUGAAGAGGGAGAUGGCAUGGGGCAGAGUGACACUAGGCACAUGGACACAAGAUGGCCACUGAGCCAUCAGUUGACCAACUUGACACACAAGAUGGCUGCCGGAUCACAAUAUGGAGAAAAACAGCAGAGCAGAUGCAGACACUGCCUAGGGCCACCAGAAUGCCAGCACAACCCAGUUAGUUAGUUUAAUGCGGGUGGGGGAGAGAAUAUACAUGAGUAACAUACACUGCCCGCCGAAGUGUCUGGGUCCAGCCAACACCUCUUAUAGAAAUGCUAACAGUUUGAUACAGACUUAGUAUGAAAUGCUAAUAGCCAGGACUGCAGUAAUUGUCCUUCUCAGGAAGAGCGAUUAGCACCCAUUACUACAGCAAUGGAUUUCCG